rnacentral:rRNA from 1 species
GACGAACGCUGGCGGCGUGCUUAACACAUGCAAGUCGAACGGUGAAAGCGGAGCUUGCUCCGCUGGAUCAGUGGCGAACGGGUGAGUAACACGUGGGCAACCUGCCCCUGACUUCGGGAUAACUCCUCGAAAGAGGUGCUAAUACCGGAUACGAAUCCUGCAGGCAUCUGCGGGAUUGGAAAGUUUUUCGGUCAGGGAUGGGCCCGCGGCCUAUCAGCUUGUUGGUGAGGUAAUGGCUCACCAAGGCGACGACGGGUAGCCGGCCUGAGAGGGGGACCGGCCACGCUGGGACUGAGGAACGGCCCAGACGCCUACGGGAGGGAGGAGUGGGGAAUAUUGCACAAUGGGCGCAAGCCUGAUGCAGCAACGCCGCGUGAGGGAUGACGGCCUUAGGGUUGUAAACCUCUUUUAGCAGGGAAGAGGCGAAAGUGACGGUACCUGCAGAAAAAGCACCGGCUAACUACGUGCCAGCCGCCGCCGUAA